rnacentral:rRNA from 1 species
UUCCAGACUCCUACGGGAGGCAGCAGUGGGGGAUAUUGCACAAUGGGGGGAACCCUGAUGCAGCGACGCCGCGUGGGUGAAGGAGUGCUUCGGCAUGUAAAGCCCUAUCGGCAGGGAAGAAGCAGGACGGUACCUGACUAAGAAGCCCCGACUAAAUACGUGCCAGCAGCCGCGGUAAUACGUAUGGAGCAAGCGUUAUCCGGAAUUACUGGGUGUAAAGGGAGCGUAGGCGGCAAGGCAAGUCUGAUGUGAAAACCCAGGGCCCAACCCUGGGACUGCAUUGGAAACUGUAUUGCUUGAGUACCGGAGAGGCAGGCGGAAUUCCUAGUGUAGCGGUGAAAUGCGUAGAUAUUAGGAGGAACACCAGUGGCGAAGGCGGCCUGCUGGACGGUAACUGACGCUGAGGCUCGAAAGCGUGGGGAGCAAACAGGAUUAGAUACCCGAGUA